rnacentral:rRNA from 1 species
UACAGAGGGUGCGAGCGUUGUUCGGAAUUACUGGGCGUAAAGGGCGCGUAGGCGGCCUGCUAAGUCGAACGUGAAAUCCCCGGGCUCAACCCGGGAACUGCGUCCGAUACUGGCAGGCUUGAAUCCGGGAGAGGGAUGUGGAAUUCCAGGUGUAGCGGUGAAAUGCGUAGAUAUCUGGAGGAACACCGGUGGCGAAGGCGGCAUCCUGGACCGGUAUUGACGCUGAUGCGCGAAAGCCAGGGGAGCAAACGGG